UACGGAGGGUGCGAGCGUUGUCCGGAAUCACUGGGCGUAAAGGGCGCGUAGGCGGUUGCGUAAGUCACUUGUGAAAUCCCGGGGCUCAACUCCGGGGCCGCAGGUGAGACUGCGUGACUAGAGCACGGUAGAGGCGAGUGGAAUUCCCGGUGUAGCGGUGGAAUGCGUAGAUAUCGGGAAGAACACCGGUGGCGAAGGCGGCUCGCUGGGCCGUUGCUGACGCUGAUGCGCGAAAGCGUGGGGAGCAAACAGG
rnacentral:rRNA from 1 species